rnacentral:rRNA from 1 species
CCUGGUUGAUCCUGCCAGUAGUCAUAUGCUUGUCUCAAAGAUUAAGCCAGGCAUGUCUAAGUACACGCCCUAGCAAGGCGAAACCGCGAAUGGCUUAUUAAAUCAGUUAUGGUUCCUUAGAUCGUACACAUUUACUUGGAUAACUGUGGUAAUUCUAGGGCUAUAAUACAUGCAAUUGAGCCCUCGUCCCUUUUAGGGUGAGGGUGCUUUUAUUAGACCAAGACCAAACGGGGGCAACUCCGAUAGUGGUGGUGACUCUGAAUAAAUAUAGCGCGGAUCGCACAGUCCUAGCACUGGCGACGCAUCUUUCAGGUGUCUGUCUUAUCAACCUUCGAUGGUAGGUAAUGCGCCUACCAUGGUUGUUAUGGGUAACGGGGAAUCAGGGUUCAAUUCCGGAGAGGGAGCCUGAGAAACUGCUAACACAUACAAGGAAGAGAGCAGACGCAAAAAUUACCUACUCCCGGCAAAGAGAGGUAGUGACGAAAAAUAACAAUACGGGACUCAAACCAGGUUCCGUAAUUGGAAUGAGUACACUCUAAAUCUUUUAACGAGGAUCUAUUGGAGGACAAGUCUAGUGCCAGCAGCCGCGGUAACUCUAGCUCCAAUAACGUAUAUUAAAGUUGUUGGGGUUGCUGUAUCUCAGUCAUGCUCCCUUCGAUACGUUGCAAAAUGCUUAUCGUUGGGGCCGACAGCACGUUGAUGGGCCCGUUUUGCCUUUGCCGGUUGAUCUGAUUCUCCGUAAAUCUUAAUUUGAAAAAAUAAGGGUGCUCAAAGCAGGCUGGUGCCUGGAUAUUCGUGCAUGGAAUACCAUAACUACCGAUGUUAGAUGCUAUCCACCACUGGUCCUGCUACCAUAACUACUGAUGUUAGACGCUAUCCAACAUUGGUUCUACUACCAUAACUACCGUAACUACCGAUGUUAGAUGCCAUCCAACACUGGUCCUGCUACCGUAACUACCAAUGUUAGAUGCCAUCCAACUCUGGUCCUGCUAC